UACGGAGGGUGCAAGCGUUAUCCGGAUUCACUGGGGUUAAAGGGAGCGUAGGUGGGUCUGUAAGUCAGUGGUGAAAUCUCCAGGGCUCAACCCGGAAACUGCUCUGCAUACUGGCAGACUGGAGUGAUGCAGAGGUUUGUGGAAUUCCUGGUGUAACGGUGAGAUGUGUUGAUAUCAGGAGGAACACCCAUGGCGAAGGCAGCAAACUGGGCAUUAACUGACGCUGAGGCGCGAAAGCGUGGGUAGCAAACAGG
rnacentral:rRNA from 1 species